GGUCGUUACAGAUCCCAUAAUUGAAUAAUGAAUGAGUGUAACUAACGGAACGAGGUGAGAAUCCUCCACUGAUACAGCAACCGUGAUCGUUCAUAACAGCCGGCCUGCAGAGAUGGCAGAGAGAACGUCAGUCGGGAGACGAGUUGCAGCUCUGAUUUGAGA
rfam:Eubacterium sp. 68-3-10 unitig_0:quiver, whole genome shotgun sequence.